rnacentral:lncRNA from 1 species
UCCUGUUAGAUUAUCAUGGCACAACUUGAGGACAUGGGCAUGUGGCUGAGGUGCUGAGUGUAGGUGCACACUUAAAGAAUGACACAUGGGGUUUGAACAGUAAGUAGGUUUGCUUAAGUUCACAUAUGCUUACUUAGCAAAUUUGUUCCUGUUGCUUCAAGGAAGGUUCUAGAAUUACUAUAAAGACUGUACUUGCCAUACUUGUGGUGGUUUCACCCAUGUCCUAUCAUUGAGAGCCUUGGGUUUGUAGGAGUUGGCCUGAUAGG